GCAUGCCCGGCCGAGUGGUUAAGUGGUUGUUUGUUAUGUGAGAGGUCACGGGUUCGAUUCCGGUUCAAUGCG
rnacentral:tRNA from 1 species